UAGUCCACGCCGUAAACGAUGUCUACUAGUUGUUGGAAGACUUGAUCUUUUAGUAACGAAGCUAACGCGAUAAGUAGACCGCCUGGGGAGUACGGCCGCAAGGUUAAAACUCAAAUGAAUUGACGGGGGCCCGCACAAGCGGCGGAGCAUGUGGUUUAAUUCGACGCAACGCGAAGAACCUUACCAACUCUUGACAUCCUGCGAACUUGCUAGAGAUAGCUUGGUGCCUUCGGGAACGCAGUGACAGGUGCUGCAUGGCUGUCGUCAGCUCGUGUUGUGAAAUGUUGGGUUAAGUCCCGUAACGAGCGCAACCCUUGUCCUUAUUUGCCAGCACAUAAUGGUGGGAACUCUAGGGAGGCUGCCGGUGACAAACCGGAGGAAGGUGGGGACGACGUCAAGUCAUCAUGGCCCUUACGACCUGGGCUACACACGUGCUACAAUGGAACGCACAGAGGGCAGCAAACCCGCGAGGGGGAGCGAAUCCCACAAAACGUUUCGUAGUCCGGAUUGGAGUCUGCAACUCGA
rnacentral:rRNA from 1 species